rnacentral:lncRNA from 1 species
CUCGAAGAUCAGAUCCAAAGAAGAAGAAAAAGAGAAGCCAGUUCAUUUCGUGGAGUACGAAGAAAGAAGGAGAGAUCGUCAACCAUCUUCUCGACAAGACUGCACCAAUCGACUUCGGAGUUUUUGUUACAGUUUUAUUUUAUUUUAUUUUAUUAUUCUUUCAAAUUUUUUAUACUUAAAUUUUAUUUUUAAUUAAUAUAAAAUUUAUUUUUUUAUACUUUAAAUUUUUAUUUUUUAUUUUUAUUGCAAGUAGAUGCUA